rnacentral:rRNA from 1 species
GACGAACCGUGCGAACGUUGUUCGGAAUCACUGGGCUUAAAGGGAGCGUAGGCGGGCUAUCAAGUCUGGGGUGAAAUGCCGCGGCUCAACCGUGGAACUGCCUCAGAUACUGACGGCCUCGAGGAAGAUAGGGGCAUGCGGAACUGUGAGUGGAGCGGUGAAAUGCGUUGAUAUUCACAGGAACUCCGGUGGCGAAAGCGGCGUGCUGGAUCUUUUCUGACGCUGAGGCUCGAAAGCUAGGGGAGCAAACGGG